rnacentral:pre_miRNA from 1 species
GUGGCUAGGCCAGGGGCUGCAACACAGGACAUGGGAGCUACCUGUCCUUCCUGCUCGUGUCUUGUGUUGCAGCCAGUGGAACAGU